GGUUCGCACUUGAAGAAAAAAUUCGUUCGAUCGCAUCGGAUGCCAGGAAGAUAGAAUAGAUUAGUAAUUAAAAUUUUUAUAAUAUUUAUGAAUUCUUACUUUGAUUCAUAGUAGAAAAGAAUCAAGAUUGAAGAAGCUCCUCGAUUGAUAUACUUCGUGAGAUUUGGAUGUAUGGAUCCUCUACUUUGCAUGCACGCCAAAUGUUGUAGGAGAGAAGGAUGAAAUCUUUCUUCAAAGAGGAAGGAGAAGUAUACUUGAGAUCUGAUCUCAAGGCUUUAGAGUAGCCCAUACGCCACCACGCCAAGAAGAGGGAG
rnacentral:lncRNA from 1 species